ACCUUCCUUGGCAACCGGCCUUGGCAACCGGCCUUGGCAACCGGCCUUGGAAACCGACCUUGGCAACCGGCCUUAGCAACCGGCCCAGAAACCACCCCUGGAAACUGUCCAUAGCAACUGCCCCGGCAACUAUCCCAGCAACUGUCCCUAGCAACCACCCUGGCAACCAUCCCAGCAACUGUCCCUAGCAACCACCCUGGCAACCAUCCCAGCAACCAUCCCAGCAACUGUCCCUAGCAACCACCCCAGCAACCAUCCCAGCAACCAUCCCUGGAAACCAUCUCUAGCAACUGCCCCUGGCAACCACCCCUGGCAACCACCCCUGUGGGUGCCAACCCCCUGUGCAGAAGAUAUUACAGACAACUGGAGAACACUGCUGGAUGAGUGGCAGAAGCCAGAGACACUUAUACACAGAAAUUCUUCUGGCAUUAUAAUCCUAAGAGAAAAUUACUCUUAAAUGGAGCUUCCCCUGCCCCUGGUUCAACCCCACGAGGCUGAGCCCCAUUUCACACGCUGCUCAGCUCAUCUGAAGCUGUUAUGUCGUGCACCUGGAACAGUCUGGGGUGAUUUUUUAAAGCCUGGCACGGAGACCAAGGGAGGUAAAGCUGAGAGGAAAUCAAUACCUGGAAAUUGCUUCAGGAUCCUAACUCUGUGUCCUUUGUCAGCGAAGGAUUGGCACUGUAAUAAGAGUAGCUGGAGUGAGAUUCUUCACCAAGAGGCAGUGGGGAGGGUGGACCUGCUUGGAUGUGAUUCCAAAAUCUGGCAGCUCCAGAUGCUGAGGGUGCCUGUGGCAGCUCGUAGCUGGCUGUAGAUUCCAUCAGGCUUGCACUGGUGUGGGCUUGGCUUUAGAGGACAAACUGAGAGCUACCCACUGCUCAUUGCUAAUGUGGAGAUCUGUGGGAGGUACUGAGUGUUGCAGACCUCUGGUUUGGGAGCCAGUGGAUGCUGACACAGCACUUGCUGUGGCAGGGAGGAGAGAUGGGGAGAAACUGGGAAGGUUCUAGGGACAAACUAAGAGAUACUCUAAAAAAAAAAUCUGUUCAUUUUGCAAAUCAAAUUUGUCAUCUGUUGUGCCAAAUCGUUAUUGAUACUAGCUGUAAAGUGAAAUUCCUCUGAGGAAUGUUGUCACACUGGCAGUAUGUUUAGACUUUGAAUGCCACUGAUACCCUGGGGGCAGCUCUGGGGCUGUGGGGAGCACAGACCUACAGACAGAGCCCCCUUGGCAUGUGCAGAGCUUUAUAUGUGUGACAGCCCUACUGAAAAAAUGACCAUGAGAACAGAGCCCACCACUGCCAGCUCAAACACACACUGCAACACCAACAGGGAUGGAUGCAAAACUGGCUCCAAACAACUCUGGGUCCUGUCAGUCCGUAGCAUCUUCAUCCAGGCAGCAGCGAGGAUCACAGACAUUUCUGCUGCAGAAGCAGCUGCAUGAACCAGAGGGAGAACCUGUGGAGCCUGGUGGAGAAGCUCCAAAAAUGACCUUUCUGGGUCCUGGGAAGACAGGAAGGUUUUGACUGAAGCUGGGACAGGAAAUCCCAGCGGCAGAAAUGCUGCUCUAUUUAUGCUAUUGCAGAACUCCUAAGCUGGGUGCACCCAACAGAGCCCCAAGGGUUUUUAGAAAUUUCUGCUGCCUCUUGCAAUUAACCCAAAGCCAUUGUUGUGGAUCUUGCUGGGUCCAGCUGUGCAUGGCAGGAAACCAAUCUAGACAGCACAAGGAAAACCCUGUCAUGAUGGAACUUUAUAGAGCCCUCUGUGAAAGCAGCUCACUUGAGAUAUGAGCACAGAUCACAGCCCUCCUAACCCAAGCU
ensembl:lncRNA